CAAUAGCGUAUAUUUACGUUGCUGCAGUUAAAAAGCUCGUAGUUGGAUUUCGGGUGGGAAUGGCCGGUCCGCCGUUUCGGUGUGCACUUGCUACGCCCACCUUGCUGCCGGGGACGUGCUCUUGAGUUCACGCUCGGGACACGGAGUCGGCGAGGUUACUUUGAGUAAAUUAGAGUGUUCAAAGCAGGCCUACGCUCUGAAUACAUUAGCAUGGAAUAACACGAUAGGACUCUGGCCUAUCUUGUUGGUCUGUAGGACCGGAGUAAUGAUUAAGAGGGACAGUCGGGGGCAUUCGUAUUUCAUUGUCAGAGGUGAAAUUCUUGGAUUUAUGAAAGACGAACUACUGCGAAAGCAUUUGCCAAGGAUGUUUUCAUUAA
rnacentral:rRNA from 1 species